rnacentral:lncRNA from 1 species
UCCCCCAUUCUCCACCCCAAAUCAAAUUCUCUCUCUCUCUCAAAAAAUUGAAUUGGGUCACCACACGAUUUCUCCUCACGACACCACCAUUGCUCAUGAUUGAAGGCUCGUCGUGUCCAGAAAACAUGAGUGACCGGGACGGGGAAGAGACGACGUCAGCGACGAGCUCUGAUGAGGAUAAUUUCGCACAUCCAGUUCCUCCGGUGAGCCCAAUUUUCACGCCAUUCUUUUUCUUUUUUCUUUUUUCUUUUUUCAAAAUCCAUGCUUAAUUUCUUAGUUAAAUGCAUGUUUAUGUGUUACAAUGUCUUUGAGGAUCAUGUUUGGUUGAUAUAUAGCUUAAGCUUGUUAUUUGUUGAUUUUUUUUUUUAAAUUUGAAGCUUUUAGUUGGAAAUUAUUUGUUGGUUGAGUGUGUAGUAGGACAUUGUUGGUUUGGUAAAUUGGUGUAGUUCUUAAGAGAUCGAUAGAGGUGAGAAAGAUGACUCCAUCGAACCCAUGAUAAAGCAUUCGGGCGUGGGAACCGCCGGCAAAGACCAUGACGGGUGGGGCACGACAUGGGCACGAUCGUGGGCUGCGGUCAUGCCCACAAUGGCAGCCCCCCAUGGUGGACACGGCAGAUGCAUCCCAUCGUGGGCACGACAGCCUCCUCUGGUCAUGGUCUUAGCAUCCAUGGCUCUAUUUUGUUGUGCUUUGUUGUAUUAUUUUGUUCAAAGACAUGAUCAUGGUUCUAAUGUCUUGUAUACAUUGAUUUUCUAGAAUAAUUGUGAUUGAAAAUGACCACCAUGCUCUACGUCACCUGUGGAGUAAAUCUUUACAUGAGGGUAGAUGUAUUCAAGGAGGUUAAGAAGAUUUUGUUUGAAUUUGGCGAUAAUGCAACUUUGGAUAGAUUUAAAUCCAGUGUUGUGAGGAG